UUUCCGUAGGUGAACCUGCGGAAGGAUCAUUAAUGAGUUGUCAUGGGGUUCGAUGCUGGCAGCCAGUUUUUGGAUGCAUGUGCUUGCCCUAACAAUCAUCUUCUUCCAAACACCUGUGCACAUUUUUGAGGGAGGCUUGAGUUGGUUGCCGCUCUUGGGUGAUUUUCUCACAUUCCCUUAAAUCAUUAUACGCUAUUAACAAUGUUGAACGUGCUCUGUGCCGCAAGGCCAUUAAUAUAAUACAACUUUUAACAACGGAUCUCUUGGCUCUC
rnacentral:misc_RNA from 1 species